rnacentral:sRNA from 13 species
GCCAGGUGUGGUGGCAUGCACCUGUAAUCCCAGCUACUUGGGAGGCUGAGGCAGGAGAAUUGCUUGAACCCGGGAGACAGAGGAUGCAGUGAGCCGAGAGUGCACCACUGCACUCCAGCCUGGGUGACAGAGCAAGACUCUGUCUCAA